rnacentral:tRNA from 1 species
GCCCGGAUGGCGGAAUUGGCAGACGCGCCAGGUUGAGGGCCUGGUGGGGGUUAACCCCGUGCUGGUUCGAAUCCAGUUCCGGGCA